CCUACGGGUGGCAGCAGUGAGGAAUAUUGGUCAAUGGGCGCGAGCCUGACCCAGCCAAGUAGCGUGAAGGAUGACUGCCCUACGGGUUGUAAACUUCUUUUAUAAAGGAAUAAAGUGAGGCACGUGUGCCUUUUUUUAUGUACUUUAUGAAUAAGGAUCGGCUAACUCCGUGCCAGCAGCCGCGGUAAUACGGAGGAUCCGAGCGUUAUCCGGAUUUAUUGGGUUUAAAGGGAGCGUAGAUGGGUUGUUAAGUCAGUUGUGAAAGUUUGCGGCUCAACCGUAAAAUUGCAAUUGAUACUGGCAGUCUUGAGUACAGUUGAGGUAGGCGGAAUUCGUGGUGUAGCGGUGAAAUGCUUAGAUAUCACGAAGAACUCCGAUUGCGAAGGCAGCUUACUAAACUGCCACUGACAUUGAUGCUCGAAAGUGUGGGUAUCAAACAGGAUUAGAUACCCCUGUAGUC
rnacentral:rRNA from 1 species